rnacentral:lncRNA from 1 species
GUGGGACGAACAAGGUGAAGUUUGCAUUGACGGAAAAGUUAUUUCAAACACUCAUAUCGUUGACUUGAUACGUGAUUCAACAGUUCCAAUUGGUCGUAGAAAACUAACAGCUGGUAUACAUCAAUUCUACCAAUUUCUGAAGUCUACUAACAUUCCACUUCGUUUGUUUAGGAAUGUCGAAAAAAACAAACAAAGUACGAUUCGAGUCUACCUCUUAUAAAGAAAAGAAAACAGAAGAAGAAAAUAAGGAGAAAGAAGAAACAGAUGAAUACAGUGAAGAUAGUGACAAUGAAUACAUCCAACAAAAUAAAAAGACAAAAAAGACAGAAACUAAUUUGGAAACCCAAAAGAAAAUGUAUGUGCAACGAGACAUAAACAGUAUAUUCACAAUAAAAAAGAAGAGAAAAAAAUGGU